GAUGAACGCUAGCGGCAGGCUUAACACAUGCAAGUCGAGGGGUAUGGUUCUUCGGAACCAGAGACCGGCGCACGGGUGCGUAACGCGUAUGCAAUCUACCUUUUACGGAGGGAUAGCCCAGAGAAAUUUGGAUUAAUACCUCAUAGUAUAACAUGACCGCAUGGUCGAGUUAUUAAAGUCACAACGGUAAAAGAUGAGCA
rnacentral:rRNA from 1 species